rnacentral:rRNA from 1 species
AUGACUGCUGUCUUCAUUAGGAGACCCCGGAUUAGAUGGGUCAACCAACUUAUGAUGGCUGAUAAGAAGGAAUGGAAUGUGCCUCUCAUCAGGCAAAUCUUCUACCCUUUUGAUGCUGAUGAAAUCUGCAAGCUCAAUAUCCCUUCUUCGGAGGUGGGCGACUGUAUUGCUUGGCAUUAUGAGAAGAAUGGCAUUUUCUCAGUUAAGAGCGUCUAUAGACUCGCGGCUGCUAACCUAGAGCAAGUGUCUCACACCCCGUCGAGCUCCACUAGGAACCUAAAUGAUCGUAGCAUCUGGGAUCUCAUUUGGAAAACAAAAGUCCACGGGAAGAUCCGCAUCUUUGCUUGGAGGGUUGCAACUAAUACUCUUGCCACCAAGAAAAACAAAUGGAAGAGAACGUUGCAAGUUGAUGCCACCUGCAGCUUAUGUGGAAAUGGUGUCGAGGACGAACACCACGCGGCUAUAGCAUGCACUAAAAGCACGGCCUUGAGGGCAGCAAUGAGAGAAGUAUGGAGGCUACCUGCUGAGAACAAACUAAGAUUUACCGGUGAUGAUUGGCUGCAAGUUGCACUGGACACGGAAAGCGAGGAGAUGCGCGCCAAACUGCUACUACUCCUGUGGCGUUGCUCGCACCUCAGGGAGGACUGCAUGCGUAAUAAUGCGAGAGAAUCUAUCAGGGGUUCAGUGCAGUUUUUAAAGCAGUACGAGGAAGGUCUGAGAAGUGCCGAUGGGACCAACGACAGGCAGAAAGGACACAUGGAUUUGGGUGAGGGAGAGAGAAAGAACCGGCUGCUUCCCGCCACCCAAGGGGACAAGUAG